rnacentral:rRNA from 1 species
GUCUAUGGCCAUACCACCCUGAACGCACCCAAUCUUGUCUGAUCUCGUAAGCUAAGAAGGGCUGAGCCUGGUUAGUACUUUGAUGGGAGAAAGUUUCCAGAAAAAUUAAUCUACCUUGCAUC